AUUGCAUUGAUAACAGUUCAUGUGUGCGAAACCUUGACACACCUAGUUGUCAUUACAUGGAAGAAAAAUCGGUUUAAAAAUCACAGCUCUUUUUUUAGCUCUGCAGUGACAAACUGCAUACGUUACGACUCUAUCCGUCGCCUCUCAUAAGCAGGACAUGUGAUCUGUAGGAUUCGCCAUCUAGAAGUAGGCCAAGGUGUUCUAUUACACUGAAGGCACUUCAGUGCUGCUCAUGCAAAAGGCUUCAUCAGUUCUACAAGGUGGCCUGCAGAACAACAAUCACAUUGACUUAUCACACACCUACAAAGACCUUUAGAUACAUUUGCUCUGGUGGCUCAGUGGUUAAAGGCUCUGGGUUACUGAUCAGAAGGCCAGGAGUUCAAACCCCAGUACUUCCAAGCUUCCACUGUUGGGCCCUUCAACAAGGCCCUUGACUCUCAGUUGUAUAAAUAAGAUGCAUGUAAGUAGCUCUGGAUAAUGGCGUCUGCUAGGGCUGCACAAUUAAUCGAACAUCCAUCUCCGUUACGAUUUUGACGGCCCACGAUUACAUGAGCAUGAUGGACUGCGAUACUGACAUUUAAAGUUCAUCCUCCGCUGUAGAUCACAUCAAGCGCUUCAUAAACUUACAGCCAAUCACCGUAGAGCGGCGCAGGGAAGGCGCAGUUUGAAAACUCCGGGCUGGCACUUCCGUGGAAACAGACCAAAACGCAGACUUUUGAAAAGAAGGUGUGGCUUCGCCCACACUCGCCCCCCGAUCGGGUCUUCUGGAACAUUGCGUAUCUUUCCUUGAUUCGUCAAGCCCCUACCGUAGGACUAUCGCGCCACCUCGAUCGUAUACACAACACCACGGAGACUGAACCGCAAGCUUUGCUGGCUUUGUCGUCGUUCUUAGCAGAUAAAUUCUGUAUUUUAUAAUACUGCAGCUGCUACAUGCGCAAGAGGCGAGCUACGAUUAGAACGAUCGCCAACAAAUCUCAUUUCGAGCGGCGUAAGCCCUACACGGAACACCGGUUCGGACCAACAACCGACUUCCUGUUUACACUCGUAUGCGCGUGCCCAGUGUGCACGAAUGGUCACGUGACGUGCGUAUUCGGUCGUGUAGCGUGGACGUUAGCAGACAGGGUUAGGCUACAAAGUGGCAAUAAAUACACACGUAACAUUCGAAUUUAAGAGGAAUUGUGGGGACUUUAAAUUGUAGUGUACAAAGUUAUGCUUUAAUAACGUACUUCGGGCAUUAUUAAUUAUUCGACAGAUUGCAAACACGCGCUCACAGAUGCCCACACUUGCACUAGCAGUGUUGCUGUGAUCGACAGGGGAGAUUGAAGACGCCACCCCUUCCGGCCACAAACGAGUGUAGCAUCAUCGGGAUUUGAAUAUUGAAUUUCUGGUGGAAUUAGCAGAGUUUUUCGAACUGGCAAAAUUGCAAUCGCACAAAAUUGUUUUGUCUCGUCUUUCGCAGUGAUGUUUGUUGGUAAAUUAGACCUUUUAUCUGUACUCGUGUUGGUCGCACGUGACUCGAACACGGCAUCGACUCAAUGCGCGUGGUGAUGACGUCAUACGACCCACCUGGACCCAAAUCCGAGGAAAAUCUGCGGUAAUUUAUAAAAAUAAAAAAAAAUGCGAGCUCCUUCGAAUAUUAGGGCGUUUGUUUGAUUUCGCAUUCAUUUCUGUGAUCGCAAAAUCGUGGGAUCCUCUAGGGACUGUACAGGAUGUUUUUGUGAAGAUAUUCUGUAGCAUUAUGGUUUCCCAUGAGAAUGGGAAGCAUGACAAGCUUGACAAUUCCCCAUUGCACAAAGUAAGGUCCAUAAAGACAUGGUUUUGCUGAUGUUGGUGUGGAACUCGAGUGACCUGCGAAAGAGCCCUGACCUCAAGCCUACUGAACAAAUUUGAGAAUAAAUUUGAACAAAUUUGAGAUGAACUGGAAGGCCUGCGAGCCAGGCGUUCUUGUCCAUCGUGUCCAGUGCACGACCUAACUCUUGUGGCUGAAUGGGCAAACCCACAACCGUGUCCUAAAAUCUAGGGGAAAGACUUCCCAGAAGAGGUGGAGGUUAUUAUAGCAGCAAAUGCUUAUUAAAUCCAUCUGGUCCGGUGUCCACAUACUUGUGUAGUAGUGUAUGUAUGGAGAACCUGAUAGGGGAACGUAAUGCAAACCAGUUCAUUAACUCACCAAUAUCACAGUUACUUAAACAACGCUCAAUCAAUGUUAAUUGUCCCAUCACCAACAUCAAUAGUGGAUUGUCUCGAUGACUCAACAUAAAUGGUAAAUGAGCUACACUUACAUAGCGCUUUUAUCCAAAGUGCUUCACACUGGCUCUCAUUCACACACACACACACACACACACACUCAGACACCAGUGGUAGCAGAGCGGCCAUGCAAGGCGCUAACUUGCCAUCGGGAGCAACUCGGGGUUCAGUGUCUCGCCCAAGGUGACUUCGGCAUGUGGAGUCAUGUGGGUCGGGAAUCGAACCGCCAACCCUACGAUUAGUGGACAACCCGCUCUACCACCUGAACCACAGCCGCUCCACACAAGCCAAAGCUAAGAAAAAGCAACGCUGGUAAAGUAAUCUCAUAGCAUACAUAGGCCGUUACCCACUGCAGCUGUUCCAGAUAACUACAAAGGGUGGGAUGUUCCUAGAACACACUCCUCUCAGUUCCAAGCAUGGACAUCACACCCAUACCAGAAUAGUGGGCAGAAAAGAUACAUGUUCCUAUCAGCUAUCACACUAUAUUACAUAAAUAGAUUCAGAGAAAACCUCAGCACACCCGUGUGCACAUUUAGAUCCUGCCCGGACCCCCAGAUAUGAAAAGCCAAUAGGAGCCCUGCACAGAUCCCACGCUACAGCUACGCUUCAUAAAUUAAUCUCUGACUAGAGAGACAUAGCAACAGGUGUCUGCUCAGCCUCGUCUGCUCAGCCUUGGGUAUUACUCACACGCUGAGCUAGAAAGAUCAAAAUGAUCGCAUAAGCGUUCCAGCUACUUUGCUAUUGGCAGGAUUGAGCGACCUCUGUGACCCCUGAACUAGACCACUCUACAGCUGCAGCUAAAUUUCCACUGCUAGUCAUUCCUAAAGGCAGGCAUUAUAUAUAUAUAUAUAUAUAUAUAUAGCAAUAGUAUUGGGACACCAUGG
ensembl:lncRNA